rnacentral:rRNA from 1 species
UACGGAGGGGGCGAGCGUUAUUCGGAAUUAUUGGGCGUAAAGGGCGCGUAGGCGGCCUGAUAAGUCAAAGGUGAAAUCCCUCGGCUCAACUGAGGAAUUGCCUUUGAAACUGUCAGGCUUGAGGCCGGGAGGGGGUGGCGGAAUUCCCAGUGUAGCGGUGAAAUGCGUAGAUAUUGGGAGGAACACCAGUGGCGAAGGCGGCCACCUGGACCGGUUCUGACGCUGAUGCGCGAAAGCGUGGGGAGCAAACA